rnacentral:rRNA from 1 species
CCUACGGGCGGCAGCAGUGGGGAAUAUUGCACAAUGGGCGCAAGCCUGAUGCAGCCAUGCCGCGUGUGUGAAGAAGGCCUUCGGGUUGUAAAGCACUUUCAGCGGGGAGGAAGGCGGUGAGGUUAAUAACCUCAUCGAUUGACGUUACCCGCAGAAGAAGCACCGGCUAACUCCGUGCCAGCAGCCGCGGUAAUACGGAGGGUGCAAGCGUUAAUCGGAAUUACUGGGCGUAAAGCGCACGCAGGCGGUCUGUCAAGUCGGAUGUGAAAUCCCCGGGCUCAACCUGGGAACUGCAUUCGAAACUGGCAGGCUAGAGUCUUGUAGAGGGGGGUAGAAUUCCAGGUGUAGCGGUGAAAUGCGUAGAGAUCUGGAGGAAUACCGGUGGCGAAGGCGGACCCCUGGACAAAGACUGACGCUCAGGUGCGAAAGCGUGGGGAGCAAACAGGAUUAGAUACCCGUGUAGUC